GACGAACGCUGGCGGCGUGCUUAACACAUGCAAGUCGAACGGAAAGGCCCUGCUUUUGUGGGGUGCUCGAGUGGUGAACGGGUGAGUAACACGUGAGUAACCUGCCCUUGACUUUGGGAUAACUUCAGGAAACUGGGGCUAAUACCGGAUAGGAGCUCCUGCUGCAUGGUGGGGGUUAGAAAGUUUCGGCGGUUGGGGAUGGACUCGCGGCUUAUCAGCUUGUUGGUGGGGUAGUGGCUUACCAAGGCUUUGACGGGUAGCCGGCCUGAGAGGGUGACCGGCAACAUUGGGAGUGAGGACCGCCCCAGACCCCUACGGGGGGGAGGGGGGGGGAAAUUUGCAAAAGGGGGGGAAGCCGGAGGGAGAAACCCCGGGGGGGGGAGGACGGCCUUGGGGUUGUAAACCGCUUUCGCCUGGGCCGAAGGGGGGGGGGGGGUAAGGGGGAAAGAAGCACCGGCUAACUACGU
rnacentral:rRNA from 1 species